UACGAAGGGUGCAAGCGUUGCUCGGAAUUAUUGGGCGUAAAGGGUAGGUAGGUGGUUUCAUUUUGUCUGGGGUGAAAGCCUUUGGCUUAACCAAAGAAGUGCCCCCGGAAACGGUGGAACUAGAGUGCUAGAGAGGGUCGUGGAAUUCCCGGUGUAGCGGUGAAAUGCGUAGAGAUGUGGAGGAACACCAGUGGCGAAGGCGACUCUUUGGUCUGUAACUGACGCUGAGGCGCGAAAGCGUGGGGAGCAAACAGG
rnacentral:rRNA from 1 species